ACGGAAGGCAGCAGUGGGGAAUAUUGCACAAUGAGCGAAAGCCUGAUGCAGCGACGCCGCGUGAGUGAAGAAGUAUCUCGGUAUGUAAAGCUCUAUCAGCAGGGAAGAAAAUGACGGUACCUGACUAAGAAGCCCCGGCUAACUACGUGCCAGCAGCCGCGGUAAUACGUAGGGGGCAAGCGUUAUCCGGAUUUACUGGGUGUAAAGGGAGCGUAGACGGUUUGGCAAGUCUGAAGUGAAAUGCGGGGGCUCAACUCCUGAACUGCUUUGGAAACUGUCGAACUAGAGUGCAGGAGAGGUAAGUGGAAUUCCUAGUGUAGCGGUGAAAUGCGUAGAUAUUAGGAGGAACACCAGUGGCGAAGGCGGCUUACUGGACUGUAACUGACGUUGAGGCUCGAAAGCGUGGGGAGCAAACAGGAUUAGAUACCCUGGUA
rnacentral:rRNA from 1 species